UGGAUGGCAUCACUGACUCAAUAGACAUGAGUUUGAAUAAGCUCUGAGAUGGUGAAGGACAGGGAAGCCUGUGUUGCAGUCCAUGGGUUGGCAAGGAGUCAGACACAACUGAAGUGACUUGGCUUGCACACACGUCUUCACAGCAGAGUGUUUCCUGAAAGUCUCAGUCUAUGACAGUGAUGCUCCUGGCCAGAACUGCCUGUGGUGCUCAUGUCGAUCAUCCCACCUGCAGCAGCCCCUACAGGCAUCUCCCUGACCGGGGUCCAAGGGUGUGGCUGGGUCAGGCGUCGUGGGUCUUAUGACUGCAGAAUGCACCUCAGCAACACGCGCCAGGAAACUUUGGAAAAAAGAAGAUUUAUGACUCAGCAGUCCUGGAGGAUGUGCAGCACACCCUGACCACAUACUGAGGUCAAGGUUAAGGGAGGGAAGGAGUGAGGACCGGGGGCUCGGCCUUUAUUAGGGUCCCGGGUGGGGUGCUCUGUGUUUUGUACGUUAUUUCAAUUAUUGGCAAAUUGAAAGCAUAAGGGUAGAAACUGGGGUGCAGGCAGAGAGGAGUGGGUCACUCGGCGGGUCAGUUAUCUGGGUCACCCCGGCCCUUCUGAAAGGGGACCUGCCUGGGUGGCCGGCUCCUCACCGAGUUGUGUAGCUAUUGUCUUUGAAGAGGGUGCCUCCACAGUCACAAGCUGAUGGUCAGGAACGUACUGUCCUGGCGGGGGAGCUGGCCUUGGAGCCUGGACCCUGACCUCAUCUGUGCAAACCCUCCACCUGGGCACAUGGGCAGAGGGGACGAUGCCUCUGGGUGAGUAGCUCUGGUCCCAUGGCCAGUCUGGAAGUGAAUGGCAGUGUCUCCCCUACGAUGAAGGGGGCAUCUUCCCCUCUGCCUGGCACAGUGCACCAGGACAAAGGGAAUGAUUGGCCUGCUCCACGAGCAGCUCCUUCUGAAGCUGCCAGCCUUGAAGGGAAAGGAGAGGGCGGGGGCCGCUGGGACCGUCUGCUUCUCGUUAGGCAGUGCAGAGAGUGAGGCAUGGGUGGAGUUCAUUAUCGCCAGUAUAUGGUUUAUCCUAAGGAUGAAUAAAUACACUUCCUUGACCUACCUCAAUGGAAAGGAAUGAUGCCUCAGGACACUUAUCAAUUAAAAAAAAUCUGAUUUUAACUUUUGGGGAACAGUUUUAGAUUUAUUCCUUUGCAUACCAUUUCUAAUGAUGUUUUUUGACUUCUAAGAAGACAUUUUUGAUUGACCGUAAAGAAUAAAACAGUCUUUGUGGUGUCCAAACCAUGUUCCACAAAUUCAGCCUGGAAGCAUCUGUAAAAAGGAAACAAACCAACCAAAAGAUGCCACACAGACUUUCAGAGACUAGAAUGUAACCUUAAAGAAAAUGUUGACUGCAAAGCAGGCAUUCCAUUGAGUUUUGACGUAGUUUGGAUGGUGUAUUUCCUGUGAAACUGACUUAGCUGUGAAGGCCCACCUGCCUUUUCUCCACAUCACUCCCUUCCUUCUGCAUCCACAGACCCUGCCAUUGUUUGGGGUGGCAUUUUCCAGGUAAAAACAUUGACACUGCUUGUUGGGGGGGAUGAUCCCGUGAUAUGAGCAGUCAGAAGUAAGUGGGAGACUGCUGGAAGCUACUGGGACAUUUCAUUUUCUUAUUUUUGCUUAUGUCAUUUUUUCCUUGAUACUGUUUUCCAGAUUGAAAUGUGAAUUUGGUUGGCUUUGGGACCAAAGUGGUCGUCUUGGGACCAUGAAGUAAAGACUGAGGAUCAUAGACCUUUUCUCCUGCCAGCCUUCCCACCCCUCACAAUUGACCAAAGGUGUCCAUUCUACUUCCAAAACCAGGCAGAGAGGAACUGGGAAACCUGACUGCCAUUGGCAGGGUCUGCUGCUUCCCAGUAGAUUCUGCUGUGUUUGAAUGGUGUUGCUGAGCACUGAUGUGUCCUAGCCUGCCCUUGCUACAGCCUGUCUUUUAAAUAAUUUAUCUGAAAAUGUCAUCAUUUCAUCUGUAUCCUGGGAUGAUAUUUUUGCUGGGUGUACCAUCUAGGUUUGCAGUUAUUUUCUUUCAGUCCUUUAAAAACAUGCUUCCAUUGUCAUUGGCUCUCACUGGUCCUGUAAGAAGUCAGCUAUCAGUCUAUUUAUUACUCCUUUAAAGGAAUUUGCCUUUUGGUUCAGGUUGUUUGGGACUCUUUGUGCUUCCUGGACCUGCAUGUCUCUUUUUUUCAGUAGGUUAGGAAUGUUUUCAGCUAUUAUUUCUCCCACUGGGUUUUCUUUUCCUUUAUCUUUCUCUUCUCCCUCUGGGACCCUUAUAUGGCAAUGUUUGUAAGCCUGAUGUUGUCUCUUAAACUAUCUUCUUUUUUUUUUUUUUUUUUGCUGGUUCUGAUGGGAGUGAUUUCUACCAGACUGUCUUCCAGAUCCCCAGUCUAUUCUUCUGUAUCAUCUAAUUUGCUCCUGGUUUCCUCUAGUAUAUUUUAAAAAUUUUAGUUAUUGUAUUCUUCAGCUCUGAUUCAGUUCUUUUUAAUAUUUUAUCUCUUUGUUGAAGUUCUCAAUGUGUUCCUCCAUUCUUCUGAGUUCAGUGAGUAAUUUUAUUGCUGUUACUUUUUAAUAUUUAUUUUUAUUUAUUUGACUGCACUAGAUCUUAAUCAUAGCUUGUGGGAUUUAGUUACCUGACCAGGGACUGAAACCUGGCCCCCCACAUUGGGAGCGUGGAGUCCCAGCCUCUCAACCACCAGGGAAGUCCCUACUCUUGACCCUUUACCUGGAAGAUUGCUUAUCUCUGUUUUGUUUAGUUCUUUUCCUGAAGUUUUGUCUUGUUCUUUUGUUUGGGACAUAUUCCCUUGUCUCCUCAUUGUGCCUAACUGUCCAAAACAUAUGGACAUUGGUGUUUUGCAAAAGCUCCUUGUGAUUUUAAUGAAUACUGAGAUUGAGAUUUUCCCAGCAUAAAAUAUGAUAAAGGUAGUACUAAAAGGGAAAACAACAGCCUAAUCUCACACAUGGAUAUAGCUGCAAAAAUAAAAUAUUAAUAUAUAAAAGUCAACCAUCAUAAAAAUUUCACUAAAUAGACUUUAUUGCAGUAACACAUGAAUGAGUCCCCCACAGAAAAGUUAUGAGCAUAAUUUAUUACUUUGCAUUUCCUAUGGAGAAAACCCAUAAGAAUCUUUCAAUACAUGUUGAAAAUUUAACAACCAAAUAAAAACUUUUUAAUACGAAUGGAAAGAAAUUACUGAGAUGUAAUAAAAUCUGUUUCGUAGAUAUUAUACUUCCUACCAAUACCUGGUUUCUGUCUGCUUCCAGCCAUCCUGGUCAGGUGCCUUGAAGCUCUGUGGGUGGAGUCGUGGUGCGGGUGGGGAGGUGAGAAGCCUAUGUGUUCUUCCUUACUCAGUGAUCCAGGAAGCUUUGUGUUGUGGUGGCAGAGUCAUGGGAUUGAGACAUGAUUUUCCAUGGGGAACAGCAUGCCUGGGGUUUAUCCAGACCCAGUAUGUGAAUCCACUGAGAUUUUGGAGUUGUUUGUUACCACAGAGAAGAUAACCUCUUUUGACCAGAGGUUUUGGGAAAAGUUUGCCUGCAAAGGGCCCAAAUAGUAAAUAUUUCAGAUAUUACAGGACAUGUGUGGUCUCUGUCACAACUACUCAACACAUCCGUUGUAGCAAAGAGCCACCAUAGAUAAUAUGUAGUUGAGGGAGCAUGCCCUGUUCCAGUAAAACUUAAUUUAUGAAAGAAGGCAGCGGUUGAAACAUAAAACAUACAGCCUUUCUUUCUGGGUCUGACUUUACUCACAGAAGACCCUCCUGGUCCAUCCGUGUUGCUGCAAAUGGCAAAGUUUCUCUCUUCUCUGUGGCUGAGUAGUAGUCCAGUGCCUGUGUGUGUUUGUAUUCACACACCCAGUUAUUGGUUGAUGGACACUGAGGUUAUUGCCAUGUAUUGGCUAUUGUCAAUACUGCUGCUGUGAACGUUGGAGUGCAGGCACCUUUUCUGGUUAGUGUUUUCAUUUUCUUUGAAUACAAACCCAGGAGUGGAAUUGUAGGGUCAUAUGCUAGUUCUGUUUUUAAUGUUUUGAGGAACCUCCAUACCGUUUUCCACAGUGGCUGCAUCAAUUUAUAUUCCCACCACCGCCGUAUCAGGGUUCCCUUUUCGCCACACCCUCGCCAGCGUUUAUUACUGUCUCUUUGGUGGUAGUCUCCUGACAGGUAUGAGGUGAUAUCUCAUUGUGGUUUUGAUUUUCAUUUCACAAGCCUGUUGACCAUUUUUUGUAUGUCUUCUUUGGGGAAAUGUCUAUUCUUCUGCUCAUUUGAAAAUUGAAUUGUUUGCUCUUUUCAUCGACUCAAUGGACAAAAGUUUGAGCAAACUCUGGGAGCUGGUAAAGGACAGGGAAGCUGGCAUGCUGCAGUCCAUGGAGUUACAAAGAGUCAGAUACGGCUGAGUGACUGAACAACAAUAUGAAAAUAUAUAUGGAUAUAUAGAGAUCCAUAUGUACAUGCAUAUAUAUUUGGCCACACCUCGUGGCCUGUGGGAUCUUGGUUCCCUAACCCGGGUUGAGCCCGGCCUGCAGCAUUGAAGGCUCUGAAUCCUGGCCACUAGGCCGCCAGGGAGCUCCCUGUUUGUUCGCUUUCCAGUUGUUUGAGUUUUUUAAUAUUUUUUUUUAUAUUAACCCCUUAUCAUAUAUAUGAUGUGCAGACAUUUUCUCUUAUUCCAUAGGUUGCCUUCUCUUUUUGUUGAUGGCUUUCUUUGCUGUGCAGAAGCUUUUUAGUUUGACCCCACGUGAUCAUUCUUGCAUGUUUUAGGUGAGCACAGGGCUCUCGCAGUCAGUUGGUUAGCAGGGGAGCUGGGCAGUUGGGCGUGCAGACUGCCCUCUGCACGCCUCCCAUUAGGCGGGGGCACAGCGCAUGAACGUAGGAGCUUCGACGUCAUGAGCAACAGGAACAAAAUAAGGAAGCUUGUUCUUCUGGCUCCGCUGCAGCUGCUGGAGGAGGGCAGGCAGGGAGGCUCCGGCUGACGCCUGCCUGCUGACCUCAAGGGCCAGACUGCUGCUGGCUUUGCCUAACCAUGAUGGUCAAUGAACCUGCCUCCUAUAGAGUCUGCAGGAGCUCUCCUGAGAAGCGUGCCGAAUACAUACCCAGAUGAUUUUGUGAAAAAACUAAUUAGGUUGUUUGGUACAAAAGCUGCACAUGUUGAGAGUUUGUGAAGCUUCUGAGGUCCCAGAGAAUCAGGCUUCCUGGUGUCAUUAUCAAACACCAUCAGUUUUCAUUUUUACCUGAGGAGCAGUGGUACUGAAUUAAAAUCCAUCAAUCACCUCAACUCAUUGGGAUGUGCAGAGCUUGGACUGUGGGCUCCACACCAGGCUUAGAACCUGGACGACAGGAGCUAUGUAUGACACAGUCCUGACCUCUGAGGAGUUGAGAGCCCAUGCUUUAAGGAAGAAGUCCAAGUUUCUUAACUUAUGUGGGCUUUCACGUCCUGGCCCCGCCUCCUUCUGCCCUCUCUUCUCUGGGGCAGAUUUUUACUUUUUCAACAAAUAAAACGUGGGGCGGUCUGAAUCUCCUUGUGUCCACGGAAUUGGGCCCACCAUGUCCUUAUGCUGUCUGGGGGUCUUGGGGACGUCACCGUGCUCCUGGAGAGCUGGUGGCAAGUUCCUUAUGGCUGGCAAGACCUCCAGGGUCGUCCCGGUUUUCUUGUCAUCUUCACCUCUCAACUGAGAAAGCAGGAGGGGAGGAGGGGGUGGAGGCUUCAAUAUUUGAAAGCACCAAACCCAACAGAAUUUAUGUGGACACUGUAAUUAUUACUAGGCUGAAUUAAUGAACUCUGUCCUCUCCUUUUUUGGCUGGAAGAACAUAAAAAUCCCAAUGAAAGGAAACAGAUGUCUUUGCUCUGAGCAUUUCCAAAGGAAACAGCAGUUAAAAACUGAGACACCACAGAAAGCCCUGCUGAAUAACGGAGAUGCUCCAGUAGUGUUUCUGCUCCCCAGCUGCGUGUGAGCGGAGUGGGUGCCUCUGGCCAGCACAGCCCCCACAUCAGAGGAACCAUACCAACAGCGUCUUGGAAACGUUUGGGGAAAAGCUUGAGUCGUGCUUCUUGCUGCACUCCGUUUUCCUUUCAACCAAAAGCGGAGUCAAAGAAGUCGGUCCCCAGGAGAACUCGUGGGCUGGUAAUGAAGCGUGAUUUAUGAGCCAGGAGGAGCAAAGACCGCCCGCGGGGAGGGUGAUCCUCUGUGCUCAGUCUCUAGGCCCCGGGGUAGCCGGCCAGCGCUCGGGGUCACCCCUCAGUGGACGAGACCCCACAUCCCCAGCGGGAAGGGCCUUCGCCCAGGGUCACUGCUGUUAGGGAAUUCGAGGCCAGCCCUCCUUCUGGACUCUGUGUCCAGGGUGUGACCCUGGCUGGUGGCUUGGGUGCACUGGGGAAGCCCCCCUUUCUCCAUGCAGGCUGGAAGGACAAAUUUCUUUUCUCUCCAAGCAGGGAGGUCAGUGCCCACUGUUCCUCUUAGAGUCUGCUUUCCUGCAAAACAUCAGAGUGCAGAGUUCUGUCCAGGUUUUCAAAGAGGCCCAGGACUCAUCUUGUGUCUCUCCAUCUUUGCCUUGUUCAUCCUCCCUUCUCUUCCUUUCCUUCUACCAGUGCUGUUCAGAGACUGAGACUCAAGGGAAACAAGAGGGAAGCUUGGCACACCCCACUACAGUGGUGGGGACCCCAGAGGUGGCACUGGUGCUUGCUGUUGGCGGAGUCUAGUGGGGGCACCCAGCCCUGGGUGCCAGGUAGCCCGCAUGGUGGGCCAGGUGGGAGAGCACUGGUUUGCUUGGCUCUCUGGCAGCCCCUUUGGGACCAGGAGGCUCAACUUCGCUGGGCCCCUCUGCUGGCCCCAGCCCCGGCUGUGUUCCACGGGCCGAAGAGAGGGAAAGGCCCUGUGGCUCUCGACAUCAGAACAUUUGCUUUAAUAGAUGCCUUCAUCCCUCGAGGCCACUGGACCCUGCAGGGCUUGAAUGAAUCACCGGCUAAAAUGGAUAGGGCAUCAAGUGUCCAGAGGAGAUGAGGGCUGGGCUUCAGGUCAGCUCGACCAUUCUUACUCUCCUGUUGGAUCUUGUUUGUUGGAUGUUCUCAGGCAACUUUCGAAGGAUGUAGGUGGGUGUGCCCUGAUUUUGAUUUGUGGUUUAGCUGUCUACUUCUAAAUUAAAAUGCCCAGCAAACAAAAGGCCUGGCUCUUGGGUCCAGGAAGUGAAUUGUAGAAGCUUGGGGAAGGGUGAUGGGAGCAAGUGGGCACAGGCUGAGACGGGCUGAGAUGGGCUGGGACGGGCUGCAAGCUGGUUGAGGAUGAAGUUAAUCCUCAGUCCUGGAGGGUCGUGCCUGCCGGGAAUCUGAGCUGCCACUGCGUUAAUAGAAGGGCAGUGUUGAAGACACGAGGGCUCAUCCCACUCAGGCUUUGCUGGACCAUUGAGCAGUGCGACUGGUCCUGCAAGGGGCACCUCUCUCCACAUCAGGGUCACAUCGGAUGGGGAGCUUUGCCAAGACGAGAGCUGGGGCCUUGUGGGCCCGCACCCAUGCUGUAUGAGAAAUGGGGGAGGGGACACACACCUGGCUAAGAGAGCUGAUGAGCCCCUGGACGGUGUACGUGCUGUUCCCAUGAGGCUGGGCCAGGACACGCUGUGGGGGAGUGGGGCUCAGCAUGAAGGGACCCUCCAGUCGAGCCCCUGGGGGGCGAGGACCCCCUGAUGGGGAGAUUGCGUACCUACCUGUGGUGCGAGGGUCACAAAAAAGGUUGAAAUAAGUGACUUUAAAGUCUUCUCCAGCUGGGAGAUUUUUAUGAUUUUCAAAUGGACAAAUCUGUAUUCUUUAUGAGUUUGAGUGAAAUUUGGUAAGUGUGUCAGGAGGAGUCAAGCUCCUGGGUGACCCGUAAGAGCCACUGGGAACAACUGGAGCGGGACUUGGCUCCAUCUGUGCCCAGAGCCCACACCCUGUAUGACCCUGGAUUCUCCCUGUGGUUUGACGCCCUGGAGGCGUGCCUGCCUUGGUGACCCUGUCCACGCCCCUGUCCAUGUCAAGCAUGUCCCUGGGAGUGGAUGGUUAAUUGUCCAUGACUUUUGCUGAUCAUCAAGAAGUUGGUAGGGACCACAGAACACAGGAUUCGUUUCCCUCCUCUGACACUGCUGUGCAAACCCAUGCGUGUUCUGGGAGAGGCUGAGCCAGCCCUCUGUCUGGGCCGACAGCGAGGAGACAGGUCCAGGCCGCCUCCAAGGAACCUAACACACGGGAGCAAAGUGACAGCCCAGUCAUUCCAAGUUUCUGAUCUGGGGCCAGAAAGCAGGCUAUUCAAACCCUGAAGGCAAGUCCUCCUGCUUUUGUUUCUUCAAGAGAAACAGAGGGUAGGUGCCAGUCACCCUGGUGGGGCCCAGGGCAACUGGUUAGAAAUGUCUCUGAAGGCUGUGUGUUAAGGCCAUGUUUCUGAAGGCCCCCAGAGAAGAAGGGGUGACCGGGAAACUACAGAUCACACCCCCACCCCGCAUUCCUCCACCUGCUUAAAACAGGUCUCCGGGCCGCUUGGAGGGAAAGAGUAUCAGCUACCCAGGGGCCUCCUCACACCAACCCGCCGCUGCUCCGAGGAUCAUGGCGCCCACACUCCCAAGGCUGGAUGUCAGCUGCCUCACUGGGUCCCACUGGGCUCUCGGUGGGCACUGGGAUGCCCAAAGGACGCUGUUCUGGUCUGAGGGUGAGGACGACAUAUGAGCCUGCUUGGUACUUGCCUUUCUUAUCAUUCACCAUCCCCUUGGGGUGGGCAGGACCUUCUAGAAAGGCUCUGAGACUCUGGCUGGUGUGGAUAAGCUGCCAACAAAGGGACAACAGGUGUCUGAAGACCCUCAGCGGGGGUCACUCUCCAGGCUGACGUUUGAGACCAGGGUUCCCAGCUGGGUCACAGUCCCGGGGCAUGGCUGGCCAGUGAGGGAGACACAGACGUGAAAACAGGGGCAUGACUCAAGUGAGCUGAGGGCAGUGUGUGUGCUGUGUGUGCAUGAAUGUGCACAUGUGUGUGGUGGGACGGACAAGGAGGGGCUGAGGGAGAAAUAAUUGAUGAACUUGGGGAGAAGUUGAGCUGGACUUAUUCUGACCGCGCGUAGCCCUAGAGCGGUCAUGUUAUAAAUCAUUUUCUUAUGAGGAAUUCACUUCCUGAGCUUUGCACAACUUCCCAAGCCUGGCCUGUGCAUGAGAACAGAACCUAGAAAUCCAAGAAAAUGAUGGUUUGUGCAAAUGUGGUUGGAGACCACAGCGGGUGAUCCUGCCAGCUUGGGGGAGUGGGGGAUGGAUGGGCUUUGGCUCUUGCUCCCAGAGCCUCCAAGGCAGAACUUCCAAGAGCACUGGUGACCACAGGGCCUUGAACACUGGACUGAAAAGGGAAUUAAAAGGAAUUGGGGCCUGGGGAUGUUCCCUGGGUUGGAGCAUCAGUAUGGCUGCUGUUCCUCAAAACUGGGGUGUCCAAAGCCCACCUAGUGCUCUCUCUGGUCCCAUCUGCAAGCACAUCCGUGGUUCUGACACGUGUGGGCACACACUGUGUGUUCGGAAAUCGUGACUGAUGUAACUCGUGAAAAAUGAAAUCCUCGAACAAAUGAAUUGCUCUGGUCCUGAGUCAACAAGAAAGGUUCUUUCUUGAGUGGUGUCUUUUUCCUUCUGCCCCUUAGCUGCUCUAUGGCUGCUCUGUGUCAUCCAGAGCUUUCUUUGGGGAGGUUCUGUGAUGUCUCAGCCCAUGGAGGGUGCAGCUCAGAGCCUCCCGCACGUCCUGCCCAGGUUAGAGUAAAGUUGACCUGGGUGGAUACCUAAUCGACCAUCUGUUAAGGUGUAGCAGGCAAAUGGAGGGAGAGGCUCUGAAACUCUUCUGAGUGAGGUUCUGAGAUGUGUCAUUGCAUCUAAGGCACUGCAGUGAUCACGCUGCGGAGAUUAAAAUGAGUUUCACCAGCACCAUACGAGUGGGUCUGCUAACCCCGAAGGUCUGAGGACCCGGGGUCCCCUCUGCAGCUCAGACCACACUCGCCUGCCUCCUGGGCACUGCUCUCGGAUGGCGGGGUGCACCUAGGGUUCUCACCUCCCCGCCACCAGCAGCAGGAUGGCAGGUGCAGAGCAGACCCUUCCUGGGCGAAUGAUGACUGCCCCUCGGGGGGCCGGCAAACCCCUACUGCCCCAUGACCCCGUGUGCAGUGCCCUCCCUGAGGUUUCCCUGGGCAGAGGCCGCACAAGGACCAUCUCCAGGACUAGGCUGCAGCUUCCAGUGCCUGGCGCUCCAUAGUCACCAUAGCUCUUCCUCUCAAACUCUGCAGGGAGGCCUUGGUUUCUAUGGACAACCCUUUAGAAGUUGUGGCACGUGGGCGCAGUAGUUACGGCUCCCGGGUUCCAGAGCACAGGCUCAGUAGUUGUAGCUUGAGGGCUUAGUUACUCCACAGUAUGUGGGAUCUUCCUGAACCAGGGAUCAAACCUGCAUCUCCUGCAUUGGCAGGUGGAUUCUUAACCACUGAGGCACCAGGGAGGUCCGUGCAUAGUAUCUUGCACACACUGGACACCAAGUCAAGGAAAGCUGUGCUUCUUCUGCACUAAAAACUGAGGGGCGAGACUGGCUUGUGUAUUUCAUUUCUGUUCACUUUAGGAUUUAAAAUUCCUCUUGACAGUGUACAACAAAGACCAGUGGGAUAAGCACUUACCUCCCGACUGGGUGUUUAGAAGUCAUCAACUGGCUGAGCAGACAGAGCCCACCCUGAGCUCUCACCGUGGUGGUGGUUUAGUCACUAAGUCAUGUCCGACUCUUUGAGACACCAUGGACUGUAGCCUGCCAGGCUCCUCUGUCCAUGGGAUUCUUCAGACAAGAAUACUGGAGCGGGUUGCCAUUUCCUUGAUGGAUGGAUCUUGCCAUUUCCAGGAUCCAGGGAUCUUUCUGACCCAGAAAUCGAAUCCUGGUUUCCUGCACUGCAAGCAGAUUUUUUACCAACUGGAGCUACGAGGGAAGCCCUACUCUCAAGGCAAGCCCUUUCUUUUAAGAGAACAAACAGUGUUCUGGGCUCAUGUAUUAUGGCUGGAAAGAGCCACAAUAGGAAACCAAGGAAACAGCAGGCUGGAUGGUUCGCAUCAAAACCGCUGGGCAUUUUGCAAAGCAUCUCAAUGGAGCUAAUUAUAACCCCAGAAUCAUUCUGCCCGUUCCUGGUCUUCAGAAGGCAAAGCAGGCACUGACGUCAUGCGCUCCUUUGUUUGUUUAGCUGGUUUCUGAGGCACAGAGGAUUUAACCCACCGAAUCUGUGAACCACAAACCCAGCCUGUGAUGCCUGCUUGCAGUGGGCAGUGCUGGUGCUGCUGGCCAGGUGCUCGGGGCCCAUGGAAAGCACAUCUGCAGCGCGCCAUGCACAUCGUUCUCUCUGGGUGUUGGGCUACCUUGGCGCGAUGGAUUCUAAACUCCAUGAGACCAAUGCAGUGGGAAUUUCCCAGCCUCUAGGACUUGUGUUCCUGGCCUGUUCUCUCUGUGACUUUGAAUCCACGUGGUGAAGAUGCCAAACCCCGUCCAGAGCUUUAUGGCCAGCAAAACACUCUCAUACUCGUUGGUCUAUUUGUCCUCAGGACAAUCUGUGGGGUGGCCAGGACAGUGUGAUCAGAUGCAGGGUGAUUAAGUGUUCUUUGGUAGCAAGCAACACAAACCAGUUUUGGCUAACUUCAGCCAAAAAAAAAGAAUUUAUUGGGAGGCUAUAGAGGGGUUUUAUUUAUAAACUUUCUUAUUCUGCAAAUUAUUUUGCAUCCAUUUAUAAACAUGGGACAAUGCAGAAGAAAAAGCAGUCGAGGGAGUUAGAAUGAAUGGAAAAUAGAGGAUGGAGUUUGGGCUACUGAAGCCAAUAAAGGGUCCACAUCUGUCCGCUUGAUGGGAGAGUCCAAGGCAGCAGCCCUCCGUGGGCAUGGGCAACGGGAGGGUGGGAUUGUGUUCUGGGCUCUGUUGGCGAGUCUCUUGUCCAGCUCUCUGUAGUUUUUUCAGAAAAGAGAAAUACCCCCGGCUCUAUGCUUAUUGCCUCGAGCCACCUCCUUUUCUCUGUCUACUCCCUCAUCCUGGCUGAGAGCAGCCUUGCCGUGGCUUCAGCACCUUUCCUGAGCUCCAGCCUCCAGUUUCAGACUCCUCGCUGGAUGCUCCCACCUCCAGGCCCUGCACACGCUCAUCCUUAUUACGUCCACAACAGAAAGGAUCGUGUUUCUCCAUCUGUAUUUUUCUAGCUGGCACAUGAGCACAUGACAUUUCCCAUCUGGAAUGCCUCAGGCCCUUUCUCUUCUGCUUGGGGAAUGACUAUUGACCUUUUAAGUCCUGUUCAAAGGUCACCAUCUCCGAGGCUCCUGCCAAGUCCUCAGGAUAGAGUGGUCGCCGCCUCCUUGGUGUCCUGGCAUCUGGCCCCUGGUGGUCAUUGAGCCCAUGGGCUACUGUCACCCUCUGUGUGUCUUGUUCUAGGGCUCGCUUUGACCAACAUGUACGCCAGGAUCAGUGCAGCUUUGUCUGUGGGAAUUCCUCCAUAAAUGCUCCCUGAUGAAGAAGGCUGGGAUAGACUCGUUCCUGAUUGCCAGGAAGACAGUUGGAUCACUGCAUGCGAAGAUGCGAGCGCUCGGCCCAGCGAUGAAGAGAGACCCUGGAACUUCUCACCUGAGACCACACCUGCAGGUCUGGUUUGCGGCUAGAAUUGGAAAGGAUUUGUGUUUCCAUGGAAUGAAGACAUGUCAGAAUGAGCAGGCAGGUGGCAGAGAAUAAGGGAAAACAGACAAGGACCCAAGAAGCUCUAUAAGUUUUCACAGAGGGCAGCUGAUGCAGAAAUGCACGUUUGAAGAACAAACCGGGGUCUUUCAGAAAAGCAAAGAGAAGGACUUGAUCGCAUUACCCAAAGUACACGAAGGUUUACUUAAGAACUUGCAGAGCAGAGAAAGCUUUGCUCCCGAGAUGAAUCUUCUGUUCACCUAACAGUGACAAGUAGAUCCUGCAUUGUCACAGGGCACUCGGGACUGGGUCCCCAGCGGCUGCCUCCCCACGCCCCAGUGCCUGGUGCUGUAUGUCUGUCUGCUCUUCAAUCAGACUUUGACUCUAAUUUUACUAUUUGUUUUUCUGUUGUAUAUUGUGUAUACAUCCAAGAAGAUCCCCUGGAGAAGGAAAUGGCAACCCUCUCCAGUAUUCUUGCCUGGAGAAUUCCAUGGACAGAGGAGCCUGGUGGGCUAUAGUCCACGGGGUCGCAAAGAGUCAGACAUGACUCAACAACAUGUCUUAAUGACUAAAUGACAAAAAACAUAUUGUGGUUAAUUUUCUAAGUUGUCUCAAAUGUUCAUGGCUAUGUGUGCAUGUGUUCUUUUUCCUACUUACCUACCCACCUGCCUACCUGCUUACCUUCUUAAUUACCUACCCACCUGCCUUCCUACUUAACUACCUGCCAACCUACUUACUUACCUAUCUACCUUCUUAUUCACCUACUCACUGUCUUCCUAACCAUGUAUAUGGUACCCCAGAGGUGCUUAGUUGAAUUAAAGGAAGAACAUGAUGAGAUUGCUGUGCGGUGCUGUGCUCACUUGUUUCAGUCGUGUCUGACUCUUUGCGACCCUACGGACUGUAGCCCACCAGGCUCUGUCCAUGGGAUU